rnacentral:lncRNA from 1 species
GCCGCACGAGCAGGCCUCCUGGGUCCCAGCCCCAGUGCACCCUGCUCUUUGCGGGUGUGGGUUUCUCGGCACGGGGUGGAAGUGAGAGGCCUCGAACUUACUUCCCAGCAUUAUGUUGGCAGGACAUUCAAAACCUAACUAUUACCCUAGACUCCCCCAUCAUCUUUAGUCCCCAUGGAGAACUUUGUAUCUAGAAGCAUCAGACAGGAGCCUGUCACAGCCUGAAAAUGGAGAUGUGCCUGAAGAACUAGGAAAAGGUGGAAAAGCUAAAAAGGCCCUGAAGCAUUCUGUGACUGCAGGCUCAGCAGAAGCACAAAGUAGAGGCGUGCCCGAGGAGACUGUGGAAAAUGCCAAAGUUAAAAAGUCACCCCAAAAACUUACCAUUUUAACCAAUGGAGAA